CGGACGGGUGAGUAAUGUAUGGGGAUCUGCCCGAUGGAGGGGGAUAACUACUGGAAACGGUAGCUAAUACCGCAUAACGUCGCAAGACCAAAGAGGGGGACCUUCGGGCCUCUUGCCAUCGGAUGUGCCCAGAUGGGAUUAGCUAGUAGGUGGGGUAACGGCUCACCUAGGCGACGAUCCCUAGCUGGUCUGAGAGGAUGACCAGCCACACUGGAACUGAGACACGGUCCAG
rnacentral:rRNA from 1 species